CCUUUAUUAUUUCCUUCCUUAAAAUUUUGCUUUGGAUUUUUCUCUUCUUUUUCUGCUUUCUUGGGGUAAGACUUAGGUCACUUAUUGGAGACCUUUCCUUAUUUUUAACAUAAGCAUUUAGUGCCAUAAAUUACCCUUUCAACACUGUUUUGGCUGCAUUCCACCUAUUUCGAUAUAUUACUUUUUCAUUCAGCUAUACCUAAUUUUUAAAAUCUUUUGAGACAUCCAAUAGAUUAUUUAAAAGUGUGUGAAUUUCAAUAAAUUUAGAGAUUUUUCUGUUGUCUUUCUGAUAAUGAUUUCUAAUUUGAUUCCAUUUCUUUCAGAAAAUACUCAGUGUACUAUUUCAAUCUAUUAUGUUUGUUGAGCUUUGUUAAUGGGGAAUGUUCAGCCAAAUUACUUUAAAUACUCUUUCAGCCACUUUCUUUUUCUUCUCCAUCUGUUGGACCUUUUAUUAUUGUCUCAUAGGUCUCUGAGACUCUGCUUAUUUUUUUUUUUUUUGAGACUGUUUUCUCUGUUGUAAAUAUCAGAUGAAUUCUGUUGAUAUGUCCUCAAGUUUACUGAGUCUAUCUUUUGUCAUUCCACUUUACUAUUGAAAUGAUCCAGUGAAUUUUUAUCUAUGUUACUGUAUUUUUUAUUUUUAUAAUUUUCAUUAGGUUCUUUAACUUCUAUUUAUUUUUCCAUUUAUUUCAAGAUAAUUUGUAGUUGAUUAUUGAAGCAUUAUUAUGCAGGCUGCCUUAAAAUCCUUGUCAGAUAUUUUCAACAUCAAAUCUAUCUCAGUGUUGACUUCAGUUGAUUAUUAUUUAUUUCAUUCAAGUUGUGAUUUUCUUGACUCUUGAUCUGACCAGUGAUUUUUGUAUUGAGUCCUGGACAUUUAGUUUGUUAUGUUAGGAGACUCUUGGUCCCACUUAUUUUACUAGGCAGACGUCCCAUUUAAGGUUAGUAUUUGAUCUUGGCCUACUUCUGUGGGCUCUAGUAUCAACAGCAGCUUAGCUUUCAGCACUUCUGCAGUGUUAUUUCAGUUUGCUUAGUUUAUCUGGUGUCACCUGGGGCUCCCAUGGUCCCCACUGGUGCUAGAUGAGUGGCAGAAGGGUUUCCCUGAGGCAGGAAGCCAGGUGUCUCUUAGAGGUGAAGUGGUACAGUGGGUCCUCUCCUCCCCUCCCACCGGUGCUGUCCAAGAUACCCCAAUAUCUUGAGAUGCCCAGAUCAGUGGGGACAAUGAAGAUUUCUGGACUACUCAGUUUGCUAUGAGGGUUUCCUUUUGCCGGUUCCAUGCACAGGCCUGAUGUCUCUUGAUGGAGGAAGAGGCUUCUUAAACUGGGGUACUUGCAGGGACUGGGUCACAUAUAGUUGUCUUCCCUGCCCACUUCACUGUCUCUGUGUGGUGAAGACAUGUCUCAGACCUGUGGAGAUAUAAAUAUAAAGGCUUUCUGGACCAGGCCACUACAUGUGAUUUCAUUCCUUUUCCUAUUCUACCUGCCCACUCUGUUAUCUCUGGGUAAAAGAGGAGAAUAUCAGAUCCAUGGGAACAAAGAGGCUGCCCAGAUCAGAGUGCAUGCUGCAGCUGAGUCUCUCUUAUGGUUCUACCUGUCACUGUAGUAUCUUUCCUUGAAAAAGGAAAGUGUUCUCCCACCAAAUUCUCCUUGCCAAUGGAUUCUCCUUGCCAAUGGAGUCAGGCUCACCUGAUAUUGCUGGGGAGGAAUGAGUCUGCCUGGCCUCCUUCUUUUGCAGGGUCAAGGUUCAGGAAAUGCAGAGUCAGUCUCACCUUCUUCUUAGGUGGGAGGAAGCAAGACAUAGGGUGCUGUGUGGUUCCUCCAGUCCUGGUGUCCUAAACCAGCUCACUUUCUUCUUACAGACUUUCAGAGUUUUUAUUUAGUUAUCUUGUGCACCAUUUCCUGGGUUUAGAGUUGUGCUUUGGGGAGAAGCAGGAAAAAAAAUAUCUGUCUACACCAUCUUGUCAGGAUCAGAAAUCUUGAAUCAAAUUAAUUCUUUUAAUCCUAAUAUUAGUUAUGUUACUCAUAUGCUCAAAACUUUCCAGUGGUUUUCCCUAUCAUUCAGAGAAAAAAAAUUCACAAUGGUCUGUUAGGUUGUGUAUUUAUUACCUGGUUUCCCCAUAAACUUUUUCCCUCCUAUCUCUCUGUCCCUGACACUUUGGCCUCCCUGCUACUCUUCAAACAUUCCAGACAUGUGGCACAAGGCAGAAGUUUGUUGCUUGAUGUUGCCUUUAGCUGAAAUUCUCUUUCCUCACUAUCAGCAUGACCACCUCACUCAUUUAUUUUAUUCAGUUCUCCAUGCCAAUGUCGUUCUACCAGAGGACCUCUCCUAUCCUUAAUUUUUCUUCAUAACAUUAUUGCCACUUGGCCUUCUUUUUCAUUUACUUUAUCUUUUUUUUUUUUUUCUGUCUUUUUGCCUUUUCUAGGGCCCCUCCUGUGGCACAUGGAGGUUGCCAGGCUAGGGGUCUAAUCAGAGCUGUAGCCGCUGGCCUACGGCAGAGCCACAGCAAUGCGGGAUCCAAGCUGUAUCUGCAACCUACACCAUAGCUCAUGGCAAUGCCGGAUCCUUAACCCACUGAGCAAGGCCAGGGUUCGAACCUGCAACCUCAUGGUUCCUAAUCGGAUUCGUUACCCCACUGAGCCAUGACAGGAACUCCAACAUUUGCUUAUUUUUUUAGCUCUAUAGGUUAGAGAUUAUUUUAUUCACUGCUUCAUAUCCAGCUCUUCAGUUAGUGCCUGGCAGAUAGUAGGUACACACAGUAACAUUUAUUAAAUUUAUGAUUCAAUUUAUUAAAAGCCAACUUCCCUUCAAAUUUCUUAACUUCUCAACUACCUCUCUUGUCUCCAUUCCUUGCCCUGCCUACUCUACCUUCUUGGUGAUAUUCUGUUUGAAUUUUAAUAAUUAUGAAAAAGAAAGAAAAGAUUUAAAGAUACAUAUUUCUACAGGAGCAUGUGGGUAUAUAGUUACAAAUUUUUAAGUCAUUUACUUAUUCUUCCUUACCUUUGAGCAUUUUUCUGAUUUUUUUUUCCUUUUAACUGAUACAUUUCUUACAAUAAUGAUGUCUGAGGUGAUAUUUAUAUGGGGAAACUUCUGAGACCUUGCAAAAUUAGAAUUUAACUCACUUUACCUUUGCAUUUAAAUGAAGGAUAUAAAUAUUGAGGUGUGAAGGUUUUUGUCUCCUUACAAUUUUUAAAUUAUUACUCCAUUAUCUUCCUGCAUGAAGUUUUAACAUUGAGAAGUCCAAUGGCUCUGCUUCUGUUGUUAAUUUUCUUAAAUAUAUUACACUGUCAUCAGGGAAUAUAUCCUGUAAAAUUAUAGGCAGUUUCUAGUUUAUUGAUUUUUCUUUUUGACCAAAGUUGCUCUAUAAGAUUUCAAAUGAUUCAUGUGUUUUUAAAAAUAAAGUAUAUUUCCCAGCUAUUGGCUAUAAAGUUCACAUAUACCAAUUAUGAUAUUUAAAUUUGUUAUGUUUUAUCUGCUUUAUUAUAGAUUUAAUUUUUUUAAAGGUGUUUAACUCUCAACUUGUGAUUAGGAAAUAUCCCAUUACUCUUUGAAAUUUUGUUGAGUUUUUGGCAUGUAUUUAAAUUUACUCAGUAAACCCCUAUAGACUAAUAAAUGAUAGGUACUUUUGUGGAUUGUUAUUCUUAUUCCUAUUAUGGCCUUCUGGGCUUGAAAUUUCUAGUAUCUACUGAUGUACUUUUUAUUAGAAUCCCCUCCUUACCCAUAUUAUUUUAAUUGUUUAUUUUCAACCUUAUUUUAUCAUUUUAUUUUAGGUAGGGCUAUCGGUAUAUAGCAAGAUUUUUGUCUAAUCAAAAAUUUCGUUUUAAUUAGAGGUAUUUUAAGAGUUCCUGUUGUGGCUCAAUGGGUUAAGGACCCAAUGUCCCUGUGAAGAUGUUGUUUCAGUCCCUGGCCUCACUCAGUGGGUUAAAGAUCCAGCAUUGCCAUGAGCUGUGGUAUAGGUCACAGAUGCAGCUCAGAUCUGGUGUUGCUGAGGCUGUAGCGUAGGACACUGCUAUAGCUCCAAAUAGACCCAUGGCCUGAGAACUUCCAUAUGCCACAGGUGCAGUUGUAAAAAGGACAUUUUUGAGUUCCCUUAUGGCUCAGAGGAUUAAAGAUCUGGCCUUGUCACUGCUGUGGUACGAGUUUGAUCCCUGGCACAGGAACUUCUGCAUACUGCAGGCAUGGCCAAAAAAUAAAUAAGUGGAGAAAGUUUACUAUUAACUUUCACUGAAAAUAUUUUCAUUUAUUUCUACAUUUUGUUUCAAGAAAGCAUUCUCUUCUUUUAUCUCUUUCUGUACAUGUAUUAUAUUUCUUUCAAAAUUUUUCUCCAUUUUUGUGUUUUGGAAAACACAUAACUCCUAUUUGUGUGUUAGCUGAAAGCUUGGAUGUUUAAUAUUCUGAUUCUUAUACUUUAUACCUCUCAUUCUUUGUAUUGGUUUCCUUCAAACAUUUAAGAUGACAUUUGUCUUUACCUUACCUUGCUCCCAGAAUUUGGGGUCUAUGGGGUAACUUGGGCCUGAGAGAAGUUUGUUACUACAUGAUGUUCUAGAUACUGGAGAAAUUCAUUCCUCCUAUAGGUCACCACCAUAGAGGGCUGAUGGGCAUUGCCUUUCCUUCUCUACCCUAUAUAUUCCACUCAAUGCAUCUGUGUGAAAACAACGCCUAGUGCUGAGUACAAAUGGAUUUAAGAGGGAAAAGUAAGGGAAAAAUAACUCUCAGUGUGACUAUUCUAAAUUCAAUUUCUGAAACAAUCCCCUGUAGCAUUGCCACUGCUCAUGAAGCAUUCACAAAUUAACUCCCACCUUUCCCCAAAAUGUUCUAUAUAUCGUGUAUUCUAGAUUGUUUUUCCUACUUCAAUUUAGUCACAUCAGUUUUCAAUUUUUUAAAAACAUUUCUCAAACCUGUUCAGUGGGUCAAAGAUCUGGUGUUGCUGCAGACUGUGGUAUAGGUCACAGAUGCAGCUCGGAUCUGGCGUUGCUGUGACUGUGGAGUAUGCCAGCAGCUGCAGCUCUGAUUUGACC
rnacentral:lncRNA from 1 species